rnacentral:rRNA from 1 species
GUGUCAGCAGCCGCGGUAAUACGGAGGGUGCAAGCGUUGUUCGGAAUCACUGGGCGUAAAGCGCGUGUAGGCGGCUAUCUAAGUCUGAUGUGAAAGCCCUGGGCUCAACUCAGGAAGUGCAUUGGAUACUGGAUAGCUGGAGUACCGGAGAGGAGGGUGGAAUUCCUGGUGUAGCGGUGAAAUGCGUAGAUAUCAGGAGGAACACCGGUGGCGAAGGCGUCCCUCUGGCCGGAUACUGACGCUGAGACGCGAAAGCGUGGGGAGCAAACAGGAUUAGAUACCCGUGUAGUCC